GACGAACGCUGGCGGCGUGCUUAACACAUGCAAGUCGAACGGAAAGGCCUGCUUUCCCUUGUGGAUUGCGGGUACUCGAGUGGCGAACGGGUGAGUAACACGUGAGUGAUCUGCCCCCAACUUGGGUAUAAGCCGGGGAAACUGGGCCUAAUUCCCGAUAGGACUGCAGGGUGGUGCCUGUGGUGGAAAACGUUUUUCUGGUGGUUGGGGUUGAGCUCGCGGCCUAUCAGCUUGUUGGUGGGGUAAUGGCCUACCAAGGCGGCGACGGGUAGCCGGCCUGAGAGGGUGGACGGCCACAUUGGGACUGAGAUACGGCCCAGACUCCUACGGGAGGCAGCAGUGGGGAAUAUUGCACAAUGGGCGGAAGCCUGAGGCAGCGACGCCGCGUGGGGGAUGACGGCCUUCGGGUUGUAAACUCCUUUCGACCGCGAGGAAGCCACCUGGUUGGAAGGGUGGUGACGGUAGUGGUAGAAGAAGCACCGGCUAACUACGUG
rnacentral:rRNA from 1 species